rnacentral:rRNA from 1 species
AGGGUGUAAACGCUGCAGACUUGGUGUUGGAGGCCCUUUGGGGGCAUUCAGUGCCGGAGAGAAGUUGUUAAGUCUGCUACUUGAGGAGUACGUCCGCAAGGAUCGAAACUUAAAGGAAUUGGCGGGGGAGCACCGCAACGGGAGGAGCGUGCGGUUUAAUUGGAUUCAACACCGUAAACUCACCAGGGAAGACUGUUACAUGAAGGCCGAGAUGAAGACUCUGCUAGAUUUUCAGAGAGGAGGUGCAUGGCGUCAGU